UGAUGAUCGCAAAACGGCGUAGUAUGAAGCUCUCAUGUUGUUCAUGCAUCUAAGUGGUUGCCUCGCAAUGAUGUCUCUGCCAGAUUCUCCGCAGUUCCCUUACGCAUCUCUGGGUUUUGCUCUGCGGUUCAUGUUUUUUUCUCUGGACACACACAACCUAGAUUUCUUCCCUUGGUUGGAGUCGCUGAAAGCCGGAAUGGAAAUUUCUGGGUCUGGAUCGGGCAGGUGGGGGAAGAGCAGGGUAUGGGCAUGUAAGAGGUAGAUCGAGUUGGGUAGGCGGGUGUUUUGUUGCGUUGAAGCUAGCCAGGAGAGGUCGCUCCCUGCGGUAGCAGCCCGACAGUGAGUUAGACCGUGACCAUGGUUGUGUCUGCAGCUUCUGGCGAUUAGUUGUCAACGACAACCAUGUUUUGCUACAGAAAUAACUCAAGAAAUCAAUUUUCAGACCCACCAAAGAAACCAGGUGAAAAAUAGACAAAAGCAAGCUGCAUCUGUUCAAUACCAGCAUCAUAUUACUAAAUUUGAUUAGAAUAAGAAUAAUCACACCAGGAAACGUGAGUCACGAACACAUCUCAACAAAAGUUAUGGCCAGCGGCGGCAUGGUUGUGGCCAACUGUGAGGAGGAGAGGAGGAGCUGGAGCAGGAUGGUGUCGAUGAUGGAGCCAGUCGUUUGCCGAAAGCCUCGCAGAUGGGGCAUCUUGAAUCCAUCCAUCAAAAGCUGUGCUCUUAAGUAUGUUUUUGUCUCACUCACUUCAAUCUCUCUGAAUAUAGUUGCGAUACUUUUGAUUUUGUCCUUUUAUUAGCUACAAAUCCAGUCAACAGGUAGAUAUCGGUGAUGCAAAAGCGGGGUCAGAGCUGCUGGAUAUCAUUUUAACUAAGCAAAUGCAUUCAUGGCUCCCUGGAAGAUCAUGGGAUUGUACUUCUAUGAUUGCUUUUGAGUUCUAAAGGUUUCCCGCCAUGAUGUCCUUUAAUAGGCUGAAGAGCUUCAUGAUGAAAGGCCAGAUCUUGGAGAUGAUUCUGACAGUGACAAGGACAAUCAAGAUGAGGGUAAUGUGGAAGGAGACUUUUCCAAACUCACAGGGAGGCAGACAAAAUUAUUUGAGUCGAGGCUUAAAGAUGGUUUCUUCACUUUGUGGAGAGAAUUCAGCUGCUGUUGGGCGUCUAUGCUUUGUCUUCCACCUUUGGUGGGUCAAAAAUUCAACUUAAUUCAUGACAUUUGUUUCUGCAUCUGUCUUUUGACACAAAGUUGGUCAUCUUUUCAUUUGUUUGGUGCCGCGGGAGAUAGAGGAUGGUGGCCUAUAAGAGGAGGCGUGGAGCAAAUCGACAAAGCCCUUAGCCAGAAGAGCUACCACUGCAAUCCUCUUAUGGUCAAUGACUUCCUUGAGAACAUAGGCCGUUGCAAAGCUGAAUCCCGGUGUAGCAGCAGUGAUUUGAGAUUUUCCGAUCUUGCUCACGAAGGGUUAAUUAUCUCCUCUCUCUUUGAGUUCUUUGCUUUAGUAGCUUUGAAUUCAUUUGUGGUUUACAAUUUUUUAUUUUUAUUCAGGAAAACUUGAGGUGGAAUUUCCGUAUAUGUUUUCCUUGUCAUUUUUGUUUAUCUUUUACGGUUGGUUAUUUUUCAAUCAUUGUUAUCAUGCAAUCGCCGACUUUAGAAGAUUCUGUGAACGGUUGUUCGUGUGGUUCGUGGCUGAAUUUGGAAUCGUUUUGUUCUCUCUUACAGUGAUGUAUUGUGCCAAACUUUGUGCUAUCGAUUUUAUUUUGUUUCAUGGUGUUGCCUA